GUAAAGCGCGCGUAGGCGGUUCGUUAAGUCUGAUGUGAAAGCCCCCGGCUCAACCGGGGAGGGUCAUUGGAAACUGGCGGACUUGAGUGCAGAAGAGGAGAGUGGAAUUCCAUGUGUAGCGGUGAAAUGCGCAGAGAUAUGGAGGAACACCAGUGGCGAAGGCGGCUCUCUGGUCUGCAACUGACGCUGAGGUGCGAAAGCGUGGGGAUCAAACAGGAUUAGAUACCCUGGUAGUCCACGCCGUAAACGAUGAGUGCUAAGUGUUAGGGGGUUUCCGCCCCUUAGUGCUGCAGCUAACGCAUUAAGCACUCCGCCUGGGGAGUACGGCCGCAAGGUUGAAACUCAAGGGAAUUGACGGGGACCCGCACAAGCGGUGGAGCAUGUGGUUUAAUUCGAAGCAACGCGAAGAACCUUACCAAAUCUUGACAUCCUCUGACCACCCUGGAGACAGGGUUUCCCUUCGGGGCAGAGUGACAGGUGGUGCAUGGUUGUCGUCAGCUCGUGUCGUGAGAUGUUGGGUUAAGUCCCGCAACGAGCGCAACCCUUAUCAUUAGUUGCCAGCAUUCAGUUGGGCACUCUAAUGAGACUGCCGGUGACAAACCGGAGGAAGGUGGGGAUGACGUCAAAUCAUCAUGCCCCUUAUGAUUUGGGCUACACACGUGCUACAAUGGACAGGUUACAAAGGGCAGCUAAGCCGCGAGGCCAAGCGAAUCCCAUAAAACUGUUCUCAGUUCGGAUUGGAGUCUGCAACUCGACUCCAUGAAGCUGGAAUCGCUAGUAAU
rnacentral:rRNA from 1 species